GGGGAAUAUUGCACAAUGGGCGAAAGCCUGAUGCAGCAACGCCGCGUGAGUGAUGAAGGCCUUCGGGUUGUAAAGCUCUGUCUUUGGGGACGAUAAUGACGGUACCCAAGGAGGAAGCCACGGCUAACUACGUGCCAGCAGCCGCGGUAAUACGUAGGUGGCAAGCGUUGUCCGGAUUUACUGGGCGUAAAGGAUGCGUAGGUGGAUAUGCAAGUCAGAUGUGAAAUACCCGGGCUUAACUCGGGUGCUGCAUUUGAAACUAUAUAUCUAGAGUGCAGGAGAGGUAAGUGGAAUUCCUAGUGUAGCGGUGAAAUGCGUAGAGAUUAGGAAGAACACCAGUGGCGAAGGCGACUUACUGGACUGUAACUGACACUGAGGCAUGAAAGCGUGGGGAGCAAAC
rnacentral:rRNA from 1 species